rnacentral:lncRNA from 1 species
UAUAUACACACACAUAUAUAUUUAUUUUUAUAUAAUAUAUAUACAUAAUGGAAGCAAAAUAAUAAAAAAUCCUCAAAACUUUUUUCAACUAAAAAUAAAUAUAGAUACUUAUUUACAGACAAUUUUAGCAGUAGUCUUAUUUUCUCAUGCAAAUAACAACAAGGCUAUACCCUGUUACCUCAUGCUGGAAAGCAAGAUGCUUAGUCCAAGUAAAUUUCCUGGACAGUGCAAAUGAUCACUUCAAAAGCAAGCCUCUUAGAGUUCCCUGAUAGCUCUCGGGUUGAGGAUCCAGCAUUAUCAUUGUUGUGGAGUGGGUUCGAGUCCUGGCCCAGGAACUUCUGCAUGCCAAGGGCACUGCCAAAAAUAAAGCAAGCCUCUUCAAAAUGAAUUCUAAUCAUUUGUACGGAAAUAUGUAGUAUUGGCCUAUCUCCUUAAACAGAGUAUUAAACAUGAUUUAACACUGUAAUGAAAAUUGUGUUAUUGAAAUAAUAUCACUAAAAAUACUGUGUCAUCGUGGAUGCUAUUUGCCCUGUCAUGCGAGGGCUCUAGAAGGCAGGUCUUAGUCUGGGUCUGUCCCUCCAGUCAGGCUCCAAGCCGCACUGCUGCUCUUCUUAGUGUGCUUACCAGCUGCUGAUGUGACAUUUUCAGCCUGGGUGGCAGUGUACUCAGAACCAGAAACCAUACGCAGGCAGCCAGGCAAAUUUUUGCCCAUGUGGAAAAUCCGUUUUUGCCACAAGUAUUUAUACUUUUAUAAUCAUAUCAACCUGAUCAUGUCCUGACAUUUGGCUUAGAAUGGAUAAAACUCACUAUGAAUAAGAGAGAAGUUGUUGGAGUUCCCAUUGUGGCUCAGAAUUAAGAACCCGACUAGGAUCCACGAGGACGCAGGUUCGAUCCCUGGCCUCGCUCAGUGGGUUAAGGCUCUGGCAUUGCCGUGAGCUUUGGUGCAGGUUGCAGACACGGCUCUGAUCUGGUGUUGCUGUGGGGUAGGCCUAUUCAACCCCUGAUUCCAGCCCGGGAACUUUCACGUGCUGUGGGUGCGACCCUAAAAAGAAAAAAGAGAGGAGUUGUCGUGUUCCUGGAGCACAUCACCAUUACCCCCCUAAGUCACUAGAAGGGCCAGGAGGAAACUCUUCUCAGAGGUGGAGCACAGGAGGCCAAGGGGAUGGUGCAGGCGCCAUGGAGGCUUUUACAGCAACGAACAGGCUGCUAAAUAAGGCUGCCUAAGCGCUUACAUGGUCAUUAUUGACAACUUGCAUCUUGAGACUUUUCUUUUUUCACUGUGCCACCCAAAACCAUAACACGGAAAGGGUACUACCGCAGAAUCUGUGGCCUCCUGGGUAAGCUCCACGUUCCUUUAUUUUCUGUGAGUUGGGAAAUCAGAGCAGUCAUUUGAUUACAACUGUGUACAAAAGAAGCAUAUGCUCUGAGGAGAGCAGAGGGGGGAUUAUUUGCACUCCCCUGCAAGGCUGGGAAAAAUACUUAUUUACUUUUGCGUUCUUUACUGCAUUUUAGAAAGCUGAGGUGGCCUGGUGGCCCAGAUUAGUUAGAUAAGUGAGAUGUUUGGAAUAUUGUCUUCUGUAAACAAUUCCAUGGUUGGCCUCACCCCCAAAAGCUUGGAUUACCAAGUUUUCAGAAAGUAAAAAUCUUGGAAAAAAAUAUACCCCUAUAGAGAACCUUGUAAACAUACUUAAGAGACAGAGCUGAGCUAUUACCGGGCAUAGUUGAAUGAAGUAAAUGGUAAAUACUGUAUUCUUGCCAUGUCAGCUUUCUAAGCAAGGUUUGUUUCUAAAUUUGCCCAGAAAUGACCUGUUUGACCAUGUGCACGUUUCUGAAACUACAUCCCCCAAGGACUACCUUCCUGAAAGGAGGAUGUCAGGGGUGUCACCGGGCUCCUCAGCAUGGAAGCUCUGACAAGGCGAGAAAAAUAAGGUAUAUAUAUAUGUAUAGCUGGGUCACUUUGCUGUACAGUGGAAAUUGAUAGAACAUUGUAAACCAACUAUAAUUUUUAAUUUUUUUUUUAAAAAGUCACCAAAUGGGUGUCAUGCCACACAAUCAGGAAGUUCUGCCCCCUGAGAUCUAAAUAAGAGACGGACCAUGUCAUGAUCACCCUCCAAUGCACGCCUGUGCCAACCGGUCAGAAGAGCCAUCAUCAACAUCUACAAAUACUAAACACUGGAGAGGGGGUGGAGAAAAAAGAACCCUCUUACGCUGUUGGUGCAAAUGUAGGCUGGUGCAGCCACCGUGGAAAACAGUAUGGAGUUUCCUUUAAAAACUACAUAUAGAACUACCGUAUGACUCAGCAAUCCCACUCCCGAACGUCUAUCCAAAGAAAAUUCUAAUUCGAAAAGACACAUGCACCCCAAUGUAAAUAGAAAAACUAUUUACAACAGCUAAGACAUGGAAGCAACCUAAAUGCCCAUUGACAGAUGAAUGGAUAAAGAAGAUGUGGUGUAUAUACACAAUGGAAUAUUACUCAGCUGCAAGAAAGAAUAAAGCCAUUUGCAGCAACAUGGAUGGACCCAGAUAUUAUCAUAUUAAGUGAAGUAAGUUAGACAAAGACAAAUACCAUAUGAGACCGCUUAUAUGUGAAAUCUAAAAUAUAACACAAAUGAACUUAUUUCCAAAACAGAAAGAGACUCACAGAUAUAGAAAACAAAGUUAUGGCUACCAAAUAGGAAAGGGGGGGGAUAAAACAGGAGUUCGGGAUUAAUAUAUACACACUACUAUAUAUAAAGUAGAUCUCCAAGAAGGAUCCACUGUAUGACAAAGGGAACUACACUCAAUAUUUUCUAAUAACAGGGGAGAGAAUCUGAAAAAGUAUACACAAACUAUAUACAUCAUAUAAAACCGAAUCAAUGUACUGUACAGCUAAAACUAACGUGAGAUUGUAAAUCAACUAUACUUCAAUAAUAAAAAAAAGAAAUCUUAUUCAGAGCAAAUAUUAGCUGUUUUUAGUAAGAAGCCAGUGUGCUACGGAUAAUGUUUCAGGUUAGAAAUGUUUUGCACUAUUUCAGUUAUGAUGACAUCUCCAGAUUUGUAAAUAUCUCCUCAUUCAUUUCCCAAAAGGCACUUACACUGAGACAGACUUGGACCUGGGACCCUCUGCUUCAGUGCUUGCACCUAGACAAAUGUCUCCCCCAUCAACAAAAUACAAAGAAAUUAUAAGGGAUGAAAAAUAACUGUGCAUGUGUAGUUGGGGCAAGUUGUGGGCAAGACUCGGAGAGGCUGAAAAGAACCCAACUGCCACUUCUGGAAAGCCUGGAGGAAAAGCAGGGUACUGUGCAUGCUCCCUGCACACAGCACCAACAAAGGGGGUGGGCAGACCACCUAAGCCACCCCUCUGACCAGAUCUCUGGAUCCACCCCUCCCCUCACCCAUGGAAGGAGUCAGCUCACCCCGCCUCAGGGAGCCAGCAAGGGAAUCUGUCACUUGCUUUUGCUCCCUCCUGUGCAGCAGGGACCCUGAUAAAGCCUUGCCUGAAUUUCUUGUCUGGACUUAUCAAUUUUUAAUGAUUAAGAAAGCCAAGAACUGGUUGGAAACAAGGCUGGUCUGUAGGAAGGAUGGGGGGGAAGGUUGACUCUUUCCCUGGGCAAGAAAAAGUGGCCUAGUCUUAGGAAUCUUAUCAUUUCCAAACACUUUUUUUCCUGAAGUGACUCACAGAUGGAGUCAACUGGGCCAAAUUUUAUCUGCUCAGUGGGUUUCUUCUUAAGAUUUUUCUAUAGACUGAUGCCCUGGUUUGCUGUCCCUUCGGUUUCGGGGAGGUUGCAAAUUCUUAGUCCGAGAUACUGUUCUCACCUUGAGUGAACGUGCUGUGCCAAAACCACCAGACCUACUGGCCACGGGUGACUUUAAAUUCACACGGGGAACUACAAUGAUUUCUGUGCUUCUCUGUCCUGAGGCGGUUCUGUGGGCGUCUUAAGAACCCAGUCUAGAAUACUUGUGCCCAAGACUUUGAUCCUUCAGUUUAUACUCUGCUCAUGCUCAGAUCCUCCUUUCUUCUUCCCCACCCCUCCCCAAUCCUCCUCUUUCCUAUUCACUUUUGACUCCAAUUUUACACCUCCACCUAGAGGGUUCCAGAGACAGUUCUGGUGCAGCCACUGCCUUGCCUCUCACUUCCUCAUCCUGCCUCUAGGGGACGCUGCUUCUGCUCUCUGACGGACACAGCUACUCUCUCCCUCAGGACCCCAUGGCAGCAACUGUCCCUUGGCCAGUGACAAAAAGGUCUGGGAAAGAGACUCUCCCUUACACUUCUUAUCGUGACAGGGUGUGGGUUUCACCAAAACUGCUCCAGUCUUUGAGCUUCAUCCUUCACAAGAAAACCAGCAAAACAGGAGUUCCUGGGUGUCUCAGUGGGUUAAGGAUUCAGCGCUGUCACUGUGGUUGGGGUUCGACCCCUGGCCCGGGGACUUCUGCAUGCAGCGGGGCGAAAACAAAACAAAAAACAAUGUGAAGGGUAUUAAGGUUUAGUGUAUUCUCUGCAGAUUCACAAAAGUUUUGAAAAUGAAGUAUUGCAUUCCAGGGAGUUCCCGUCGUUGCUCAGUGUAAACAAAUCUGACUAGCAUCCAUGAGCACGCAGGUUUAAUCCCUGGCCUUGCUCAGUGGGUUAAAGGAUCCGGCAUUGCUGUAGCUGUGGUGUAGGUCGCAGACACAGCUCGGAUCCGUGUUGCUGUGGCUGUAGUGUAGCUGGCAGCUGUAGCUCCAAUUCCACCCCUAGCCUGGGAACCUCCAUAUGCCCCGGGUGUGGCCCUAAAAAUACACACAAAAAAAAAUACGAAAAAAAACAAAACAAAAAACGUAUUGCACUCCAUUGUUCUUUAAUGACAUUCCUUAUUCAGAGUUUUCCCUUUAUGCUCAUCUUCUGUAUUUUGCACUCUGCUCUCCUAUUAGAAUCAAGCAGUGGUGGCAGUUUCCAGCAUUGAAUAAAAGGCAAUGACACUCAGCAGGCGUAAGCCACCACUUCAAUGAUUUGUAUUCUUCCGCGCCUCUGCGCCACAGGGAGCAUCGUGAUCACUGUGAACUUUCCCGUCAUGUCCAGAAGCACGUCCCUGUUCUCCAAGGCGUUUCUGGUCCAUCGCUUAGCCAAUUACCAACCCAGCGGGAGGAGUCUCCCACUGUGGAGCCGCAGUCGGCAUGGAAUGCAGGCAGCUCUGUGUUUAUAGGCAGCACAACCCAGAUCAGAGGAACGGAACGACACGUUUGAAGCUACACCUCGCGAAGGAUCCACUGAUAAAUUUCGCAUCACAAGAGCUAUGGAGCGGGACGCGGGGCCAUGGAGUCCAUGUAAUUCCUUCUCCUGUUGUUCCUUCUCUUGUUGCUCUCAGACAAGAUGAGCAAGGGAUUUUAUACAAUACAGAAGGGUUCUUGAGUUCCCCUCGUGGCGCAGUGGUUAACGAAUCCGACUAGAAACCAUGAGGUUGAGGGUUCGAUUCCUGGCCUUGCUCAGUGGGUUAAGGAUCCCGUGUUGCGGUGAGCUGUGGAGUAGGUCGCAGACGUGGCUCGGAUCCGCGUUGCUGUGGCUGUGGUGUAGGCCAGCAGCUAUAGC